UGUCAAGAACAUUAUUCAGGCAACACUGCGGAGAUGAACUCUGCCCCAGGCUUAGUGACUGUGGUACUCUUAGUGCUUGGACGAACACAUGGAGACUCAGUGACCCAGACGGAAGGCCAAGUGACCCUGCUUAAAGGGGAUUCCCUGACUGUGAACUGCUCCUAUGAAGCCCCAGGUUAUCCCACUCUCUUCUGGUACGUUCAGUAUCCUGGAGAUGGCCCACAGUUCCUCCUGAGAGCCGCAAGGGCCAAUGAGAAGGGAAGCAACGGCGGUUUUGAAGCCACAUAUCGCAAAGAACCAAACUCCUUCCACUUGGAGAAAGCCUCAGUCCAGGAGUCAGAUUCGGCAACGUACUUCUGUGCUCUGAUUGACACAGUGACAGAAACUGCAGGGGGAGCUGAGCACAAACUCAGGCUGCUGAGUGACUAUGACUGUGUGAUCCCCUCUGGUGGAUCUUCUUAUUUAACAUCAGAACACAGGGGCAAGGCAGGCUUUACAAAAAAUAACUUCAUCAUGGUUCUGAGGGUUGAGCGAGCCCUUAAGAAAGGAGACCAGUGA